rnacentral:tRNA from 1 species
GGGGUUGUGGCUCAGCGAUAGAGCACUCAUCUAGCACAUGUGAGGCCCUGAGCUCAAUCCUCAGCACCA